rnacentral:lncRNA from 1 species
ACCACUCAGGAUGCAAACCGUUCCAACGGUCAGCGGUCUCUGUAAACGCAUCUAAUCGCAAACAAAUUCACACGAGCGUGACAGGCGUGGAAGCACCCACAUUAGGCUGCUGCAAAUUAAGAUACUUGAGAAAGACAGAGGUGGUUUACAGCAGUCAUGGCAGCCAUAGCAACUGUCCCUAACUACACCCCAUCGAUAUGGGUACGGUUAUGCCAUGCCAUUCCUCGCCUGGACUUGACCCUGCAGACCCGAGACAGCGUGUUCACUCCAAACAGCUGGGAGUAUCAGCAGACUCUUCUGGUCCUCUCCAGCUUCUCCGCCAUUGCUCUCGUCCUCUCGUUACUUGUAGUUCUCUCCUUCCUCAUCCACUACUGCUGC